AUACGUAGGUGACAAGCGUUAUCCGGAUUUACUGGGCGUAAAGGGCGUGUAGGCGGUCUUGCAAGCCAGAAGUGAAAUUCCUGAGCUCAACUCGGGCGCUGCUUCUGAAACUGCAGGACUUGAGUGCUGGAGGGGAUAGCGGAAUUCCUAGUGGAGCGGUAAAAUGCACAGAUAUUAGGAAGAACACCGGAGGCGAAGGCGGCUAUCUGGACAGUAACUGACGCGGAGGCGCGAAGGCGGGGGGAGCAAACAGGAUUGGAUACCCUGGUAUUCCACGCCGUAAACGAUGAAUACUAGGUGUAGGGGGUAUCGACCCCCUCUGUGCCGCAGUUAACACAAUAAGUAUUCCGCCUGGGGAGUACGGCCGCAAGGUUGAAACUCAAAGGAAUUGACGGGG
rnacentral:rRNA from 1 species